UGUUCCCAGAACCCAAACAGAAAGACAAUUCCGGGAAAUAGCCUCAUGGGGUCCCACCCUGAUAACCUCAUGGGGUUCCACCCUGACUCAAUGUCCCCGAUGUUCCCGGAAUCAGCAAUUCCAGGAAAGAACCUCCUAAGGUCCCGCCCCAACCAAUCAGAACAAGAUACCUUGCUCAGGCCAUAGACAGACCCAAUUACCACGCGCCUAAAGCUUUAUUUGAAUUUCGCACCCUAAGCUGUGUUUGAACUUGUGUUUGCCUAUAUAAACAACCUGUAACAAGCACUCGGGGUCCCAGGGCCAACUUAGAGCUUGGGACCCUAGUGCGCUAGUAAUAAACAACUCUCCACUGUGAA